rnacentral:pre_miRNA from 1 species
ACGUCAGGGAAGGGGUUCUGCCGUCGGUCCCACUGCAAAGUUCGCAGAGUGGGAGGUGGGCGCAGAAUCCCGACUCUGCUUGUG